UGUAAGAAUCACACUGUGGUGACUGGCCCUUGGCGCAACGUGGGUUUCACAGCGCAUGGUUUUGCGGGCUACCCGCUCUGUGACUCUGGCCUGAGUGGAAAAUGGACACGCUUCACAGGGAUUGGUGGGGAUGUUCUAACCGAAACGUGUCACUUUCUCUGGCAUUGUGGCUCAUAUGUGUGUGCACGUUUGGGCUUCGCUCACCCAACGCUCAAGGAUGGGAUUGUGUCAGGCCCAACACAAAUGAGGUGGGCUGGAUACUGCAACUACUACACUUCGAGCCUGAAGGUCCUGGCUUGCCAAGGAGGAUUCUUUGUGUACUUUCUGUCACCGUUUCCUUGCCCAUGGAACUAUGCUCUUCGACAUAGCAACUGCAGCCUGGCUGAUUGCGGACCACUUGCCGAAUGCGUGGGUGAAGGAUUUUGUCAGUGCAUGAAUGGAUUCCAACUACCGGAUGAUCGUCUUCCAGUUAAUGAAUCAUAUGGCUGUACAGACAUUGAUGAGUGUGCAACCCUGACAGACGACUGUGUUCGUUUAUCUGACUGCGUGAACACUUUUGGGUCUUACAACUGCUGCUGUCACAAGGGUUACCAAACACCUAAUAACACCAAGCCCAGCCUUUCAAACCCCUGUAAAGAUAUCAAUGAGUGUGUGGAGGAACCCAACAUCUGUGGUCCCAACGCUAACUGCUCCAACACUGUUGGAGCCCACACCUGUACCUGUCACCCAGGUUACCAAGUACUCCCCGUGGGUUCCUUGGCUAAUAUUUCAAACCCCUGUCGAGACAUCGAUGAGUGCCUGAAAGACAUCUGCGGUCCCAACUCCACCUGUACUAACACUCCUGGGAAUUACACCUGCACCUGUCAAACGGGCUAUGGUGCCAAAAACAAGCUCUUAAGGGUCAAUUCCUCAAACCCCUGUGCAGGUCAGUAUUUCUCAGAGCGUCAGUAAAUCACUAGAGAACAUUCUUUAAAAAACAAACAAACAAACAAAACAUUCUGACU